AUGCUACUUUCUCCGUCCGAAAAUAUUUGUCGAAGAAAUGCAUAAAAAUAAAUGUAUCUAAAACUAAAAUACAUUUAGAUAUAUUAUCCAUUCUUUCGACGAGUAUUUCCGGACGGAGGGAGUACUAG
rfam:Triticum aestivum genome assembly, contig: Triticum_aestivum_CS42_TGACv1_scaffold_129313_2BL